GAGGGUUUAGCUCAGUGGUAGAGUGUGUGCUUAGCAUGCACGAGGUCCUGGGUUCAAUCCCCUGUGCUUCCA
rnacentral:tRNA from 1 species